UUAUGCAGGUGAUUUAUAAGAAAUCGUCUGCUUGCAGUUUGUACGUCUAACCGGGUAAACGAGCGAGUAGUAAACGACAAGCAGACUUAAAUGUUUUAAUAUUUCUGGAUAUAUUAUAGCUUAUUUUAACUUCUAUAUUGAAAGUAUGUAUGUUUUCCCAUCGUGUACUUCUGCAGUCGGGCGUUUCGACCAUAGACUGUAAAAGGUUUCAACAGCUGAGGGAUGCUCUUUAACUACCAUUAAUCUCGGCGCUGCUUUAACAAAAAAGAAGGAGUUCCCUUAAAAGUUCUGCGAUGGAGUUUACAGAUGAGGAGAAAAUAUGGCUGCAAAGAGUGUCUGCUGAAAUACCUGAAGGAAAUGAACUCACUGCAAAAGAGAAGCAGUUACAGGAGAAAGCAAAGCCAGAGACUGAAUUUCAGGCCCAGAUCUUCCAAACUAUGGCCUCCAUACAAUUUGGACUGAAUGAUCUAAUAACCUCAACAAUAGAGGUGAAAAACUCUGUCCAGCAGAGGAGCAGCGUCUCAUCACAAUGUGGAUAAACAUCAAAUACCAAGAUGAUGUUGCGUUUACUUUUUCUUUUUGGUUAUAUAACUGAAUAUUCAAAAUAAACUAACCUAAAAAAAAAUCUUCUGUACAUAACAGUGAUAUCAAGUGACUUUGGCACUUUGUAAUUGGCCGCAAGAAUACAAGUUAAUCUUUUUCAUGAUCUCAGCAGGGUAUUCUUACGUCAUUAAUGAUUUAUUAGUGGAUGUCAGGUUUAGAUCAUAGUUACACCAGAGAAUGUAGCAUUGAGUUUUAGUGACCUCAGCUCAUGAAAUGUUUCCUCCGCUAUGUACAACAGGACACUUCACUAUGCUAUGUAAUGCUGACUUUGAGAAAAUAAUGCUAUUGCUGUUUGCAUGCUCUUUUAUUGUUGUACGAUCUAUGAAAUCAUGAGAAAACA